AAAACUGGCAGCUGUUGUUACAGCAUCUCUCAUUCUAGCCAGACAGCUCCAUGGUUAGAUAUUUCUGGAGACAACAGGCCUCUAAUAACAUGGGAGGUCAGCUUCGCAGGGCCUGACCAUGCAGAGGCGGCUCUGCUUCUCCAGUCUGCAGAAGGUAUUGUCAUUGGUAACUCGGGUGGAGAUGCCCAUCCCACAGGUCUUAGAACAGGCGCUCCACUCUGUGGUCUGGACCAGGCAGUUGGCUCGCAUCAUAGUUGGGUCUGGGCCAAAUGUGUCUUCCAGUCGGUAGGCUGUGAGAGCAGAACACACAAACACAAUCCGUCCCUUCCGUCAGUCCCGGGGCUUACCCGGGUGCAGAGAGCGAGGAGCACCAAGGCGAGGCUGAUGGGACCUGCGACGGAGGCGAGCAUGAUCGGGACGCGGUAGGAGGAUGCACAGCAGGGUGCAGAGGCGACGAGAGGCGCGGCCGGAGCCUGGAUUCGGACAGGGGCGGAGGUUGGUGUCUGGACGCUCCAGGCGGUGGCGUCUGGGGUUGUCGGCUGGGCUGGGGCUGCUGCCGUCUGGAGGAGGUCGGUCUCCUGGGGUCGGAGCUGGAGUGGAUCUGGCUGAGUCUUCUUGGAGAGAAGAGCUGUGUGAGACUAGGCGGGCGGCGCUGGCUUUUAUACGCUCCCGGGAGCCGGCUCGCCAAAGAACUGAAUGGAGUCCUACACAAACAGGGACAUUCCUCACAUUCCUCCCCACCUUCCUGCCUCAUCAACUCACACCGGAUUGAUCCUGACCCCUUGACACUCCACAUUCCUCCGUCUGAAAAAGCUGGCACACUUUAGCUCGCCAGGAAAAAAAAAAAAGGCGCUGUGUUUCCAGCACAACACCAAGAAGUAAAACUAGUUACAUGUCAACAGCGAAAGGUGUGAGUGGCUUGAAGUGUGAGCAGCCUCUGCAGUGCUGGAAGGAUUUCUGACAUUGUUAUUCAAUGUUCUUUCCAAGCAUUCCUCAAAGAGAAGAGGCCCGAGACUUCCUAUUUAAAGAAAGAACAUGGCAAGUUAGUAUAUUAUCAUCCUGCACUACUGUUAAAAAGUGUCAGCAUUAUAAUACUAGGUUUUACUAUAAAAUUCACACCUCAAAUUCUCAGUAACUCCAUAGUUAGUUCCAAAUGGAUGGUUUUUAAUAAUUAACUAAGAGGAACUAGAUUAUUGAAAUAUACAACCAACUCAUGAAAAUCUCAGAAUAUUCUGUGCAUUUGAAAUGUAGCUUGGAGCUUUAUAAUCAAAACACUUGAAAGGGUGAAGACAGAAGACUACCUCUCCACAAAUCAUACAGACAAGAUGGGACAGAAGGAGAAGGGUGUGUGACAGAGGACAUUCAAGACAUUCACAGACUGGAAAGUAUGUUUUUAUUAUGAUGCAGGUCAUUAAGUGCCAGGAAAUCCAGAAGGAAAGACUGACACACCAGCCUUGGUUCAUGCCAUGGGACCUGACUUCUUACAUCCUUAUAAAUGACUCAGCAAAUGUUUGUGUGCACCUGGGCAGUAAAACGAACGUAGCAGCUUCUUACAACUUCAGCCAACUCUGCCCUAGCCCAACCUUUUUGAUUGACAGCAUGGGAGAAACAAAUCCUUGAAAUUGUAUGGAGAAGGAAGUUGUUGUUUUGACUUCUAAACAGGGGUUUACUUAGUGACUUCAAGAGAACAUUCUACCCCAACCAACCCUCCCAGUAGAUGAGGAAUUCACUAAGGUGGCCACUUACGAUGAACCAAUGCCCUCAACCAGGACUUAAGAUGACUUAAGAUGAUGGCUGGGUCCCAGAGGCUCACGUCAGGGUGUGCUCUGCUGUGACAUCAGCUUUAUCCCACGUUGGGAAGGUCCAUGCCCAACACUGUGCUGUCUUGUUUAGGCUGAGAAUGGGACCAACCACAGACAUCGUAAAAAGCUCUUAAAAAACCAUUCACUGAUAAGCUGCCAUUAUGAAUAAAUAUGAAAGAGGGCAGCAGGCUACCCACACCAAAGUGAUACCCACGGUAACCAUGGGCUUGUCGUGAGUGGCCCUCAAUAGACAAGCCUUAGGGUGUCGUCAUAGAUGCUACCAAGUGUAUUUUAUGAGCCUGUCUUAGUUGAAAAUGCACUUUCCUUAAACUAGGUACCCUGAAUGCAGAGUUGACUUCGAAGCUUCUGCCCGCUCCCCUUUGGGUGUGGAGUGAUUGGCUUUGAACCAUGUCUCGGUUCAUGUUGUUAAUGGAAUGAUCUCUGCGGUAACUGUGUGUGGCAAGGUUUGAGCGUGUCGUCUAGGAAUGGCAGGCUCAUAACAAGGGAAUUUUCUCAGUGACUCAUGCCUGUGUGAGGAAGUUAACAACUGUAGCAUUAAAUUUCAUCUAAUCGUGGACUUACUAAUGUCUGAACAUAUCCUACCAUGAAGGUCUUUCUUCCAUGUAAACAAUAAAUGCUAAUUUUGCGAACCCUGUGCAAUAUGCACUGUGUGUGAAGACAGCAGAUCAUAGGGACCUUGGAGAUCAUUCAGCGGAAACAUGAGACCACCCCCUUCAGAGUAUACAAGGUGGAAGACAGCGCCGAUGGGGUGUGGCUUCCUGCUCUGAUAACCUCAAGGUAAGAAAGAAAGGAACAGGGCUGGGCUCAGGGGGUAAAGUGAUUGCUGCUCCAGCAUAACACACACACACACACACACACACACACAAAUGUUAGCACAUAUGUAUGCAAGCAACACAUGCACAUGUCUAACCACACUUGCACUCACAUGAACAUGCACACAUAUACAUAUAUACACGCACAGACAAGAAAAUUAUGAUCGAAUCAUUUUAUUAGGAAACUUACUCCAAAUAAAAUCUUGUAAGAUACUCUACAGCAGUGAUUUCUCAACCUUCUUGAUGCUGUGACCCUUUAAUAGAGUUCCGCAUGUUGUGGUAAGGUCAACCACAAAGUAUAAAAUUAUUUUCAUUGUGACUUCAUAACUAUUAUUUUGCUAGUUAUAAACUGUAAUAUAAAUAUCUGUGUUUUCUGAAUGUCUUAGGUGACCCCUGUGAAGGGGUCAUUAAACCCUCAAAGGGGUUGCGACCCACAGGUCUAGACAUUUAGGUAUUUAGAUAUUUAUGAAUGAUGAAGUGGGAAUGGGAAAAGUUUUGGAUUGUAAUCUAAAAGCAUUUCCAGUUUGUGUCUGUGCAGAUGGCAUACAAAUGCAUCCAUGAUACAGGUAGAGAGGCCAGUGAACACAUCUGAAUCCGAAUGUGGAACACCAGCUGUCUCAGCCCUUCCCACCACCUUCUGUGUGAGCACGUGGACAAAACAUUUAGAGAUUGAAGGUUGGUAUGCUGAGUUGCUGGUGACUAAGCAAAGCCUGACACAGCUUCACAAGAGGUCCCUCAAACUCUGACCACCAUGGAGACUUGGCAAUCCAUUCAGACUACUUUGAGAAGCAGUUCAAAACUGAUUUGUAUUCUACGAUUCU
rnacentral:lncRNA from 1 species